rnacentral:rRNA from 1 species
GACGAACGCUGGCGGCGUGCCUAAUACAUGCAAGUCGAGCGCAGGAAACUGACGGAACUCUUCGGAGGGAAGGCAGUGGAAUGAGCGGCGGACGGGUGAGUAACACGUAAGGAACCUGCCUCAAGGAUUGGGAUAACUCCGAGAAAUCGGAGCUAAUACCGGAUAGUUCAACGGACCGCAUGGUCCGCUGAUGAAAGGAGCUCCGGCGUCACCUUGAGAUGGCCUUGCGGUGCAUUAGCUAGUUGGUGGGGUAACGGCCCACCAAGGCGACGAUGCAUAGCCGACCUGAGAGGGUGAUCGGCCACACUGGGACUGAGACACGGCCCAGACUCCUACGGGAGGCAGCAGUAGGGAAUCUUCCACAAUGGACGAAAGUCUGAUGGAGCAACGCCGCGUGAGUGAUGAAGGUUUUCGGAUCGUAAAACUCUGUUGUAAGGGAAGAACACGUACGAGAGGGAAUGCUCGUACCUUGACGGUACCUUACGAGAAAGCCACGGCUAACUACGUGCCAGCAGCCGCCGUAACAC